AAAAAAGACAAAGCAUUAAACAACCUCUCACUUCACUUUUUUUUCUUUUAUUCAAGGUGACUCAAUUCCGUCCAGUUGCUGACAACGGUGCCAGUACUGGAGGCUGAGAUUGUACUGUUUUAUUGCUCUACACAAAGUGCUAAUCUGGCCUUAAGGCUCCAAGGAAGACUCUACAGAUGGCACCAUGGCAGAGAAGCUCUGGCAAGAAUAUUUGCAAAAUGAGAUAAGAAAACUGAGUCCAGAGAAACUGAGUGAGCUGUCUCCUCAAGAUCACAAAGCAGAACCGAGAACCAAACUCCUAUCAAAUGAGUCCAAAUCCCAUUGUCUGGCUGCAGCUCACAGGGCAAAGGUAAUUCA